rnacentral:rRNA from 1 species
CGUACACUCCUACGGGAGGCAGCAGUGGGGAAUAUUGGACAAUGGGCGCAAGCCUGAUCCAGCCAUGCCGCGUGAGUGAUGAAGGCCCUAGGGUUGUAAAGCUCUUUUGUGCGGGAAGAUAAUGACGGUACCGCAAGAAUAAGCCCCGGCUAACUUCGUGCCAGCAGCCGCGGUAAUACGAAGGGGGCUAGCGUUGCUCGGAAUCACUGGGCGUAAAGGGUGCGUAGGCGGGUCUUUAAGUCAGGGGUGAAAUCCUGGAGCUCAACUCCAGAACUGCCUUUGAUACUGAAGAUCUUGAGUUCGGGAGAGGUGAGUGGAACUGCGAGUGUAGAGGUGAAAUUCGUAGAUAUUCGCAAGAACACCAGUGGCGAAGGCGGCUCACUGGCCCGAUACUGACGCUGAGGCACGAAAGCGUGGGGAGCAAACAGGAUUAGAAACCCCAGUAGUCCC